rnacentral:lncRNA from 1 species
AAGUUUAGCAAAAAUAUUAUCUAAGUUUCUUGCAACAUCACAAUAUCUGGUUUCUAAGUAUUAAAAACAGUCAAAAUCUCCUUUCUUUUUCCAGGGGUACCCAGCCCCCUAACAUUCCAUGUGAUAAUAAUCAUGUAUCAUUAUUUAUGCCCUCUCUUUGUGACUCCUGUCCCCCAGAGUCAUCUUCAAGAUCCUCUUCCAAUUCUUGUAAAAUACUUUUUCCACUUAUCAAUUUUAUAAGAGUAUCGACCAUUCUUUCUCAUCAUAAUUUUUCCACCUUUUUCUACUCCUUUAACUCCUAUUUCAGAUGCAAUAGAAUAUAAA